UACGAAGGGGGCUAGCGUUGCUCGGAAUCACUGGGCGUAAAGCGCACGUAGGCGGCUUUUUAAGUCAGGGGUGAAAUCCUGGAGCUCAACUCCAGAACUGCCUUUGAUACUGGGAAGCUCGAGUCCGGGAGAGGUGAGUGGAACUGCGAGUGUAGAGGUGAAAUUCGUAGAUAUUCGCAAGAACACCAGUGGCGAAGGCGGCUCACUGGCCCGGUACUGACGCUGAGGUGCGAAAGCGUGGGGAGCAAACAGG
rnacentral:rRNA from 1 species